GGUGACGUGGUCUAGCGGUUAGAACGCUGGCCUUGUAAUCCUGGGGUCUCGGGUUCGAUUCCCGGCGGUGCCC
rnacentral:tRNA from 1 species